rnacentral:rRNA from 1 species
UACAGAGGGGGCAAGCGUUGUUCGGAAUUACUGGGCGUAAAGGGCGCGUAGGCGGCCUUCUAAGUCGAACGUGAAAUCCCCGGGCUCAACCCGGGAACUGCGUCCGAGACUGAAAGGCUCGAAUCCGGGAGAGGGAUGUGGAAUUCCAGGUGUAGCGGUGAAAUGCGUAGAUAUCUGGAGGAACACCGGUGGCGAAAGCGGCUUACUGGGUCUCUUCUGACGCUGAGAAACGAAAGCUAGGGUAGCGAACGGG